GUUUAGUGUCACUGUUAAGAACACGGGCUCUGGAGCCAGACUCUUAGGUUUCUAUCCCAGCUCUGUCACAUGGGCAAGUCAUUUAAUUCUCUGUCUCAACUUCCUCACCUGUAAAAUGGAGAUAAUAAUAGUCCCCACUUGGUCGGGUUGUUGAGAAGGUUAAAUGGUCGCCUAAGUAUAUCUGAGUUUAUCUAAGCUCUUAUAGUGAAGCAGGAAGAUGAGAUGGGUAUCUCUCUGCUCUUGCCCAAAGCAGGCUACAGACGGGUUGGUUACUGGUUCUGCUCUAAGGACUGGCCUGCUGGACUCGCUGCGCUUCUCUGCCAGCUGUUCCCUCUUCCGCCUUCUGUUUGCUUUGAUCUGAGGUUGACAGACCACCUGGCCUGCUAAACUGGGAAGGUAGUGAUGCAUUUUAGGCAAUGUCUUCUGCUUAUGCUCAGCAAUGCAUGAGUCUCAGAGCGGUGGCCAGAGAAAUGGCGAAUCGUCGUAUAUUGAGCGAGUGAUAAUGGAAUCCAGGAGGUGGAAAUUACAAGUUGAAAAGUAAAAUCAAUGCCCUGACUGUGAAAUGACUGAAUGCCUGGUGAGGAACUGUGUCGAGGUGCACCCCCACUCCCCUUACUCCACACCGACCUUUAAGACGCUCACCAGUUCAGAAGUUCCUUGAGGGCAGGAAGCAUAUUUUAAUCACGGGUAAUCAUAGCAUAUCAGGGCAGAAAUGGGCCUUAGAGAGCUUCCAGCCCUGGAGUGGCAAAUCGGUUUCAUUUUGGUGCCAGCUACAAUCAUUUAGUGGUGGCUGCCUGAAGCGCUGGGCCGAGAAGUGUUCUGCGGGUCUCUGGGCUCCUUGAGGAGUCGGCCAUGAUCAAUUAGCGAUGUUUACCAUGGCCAGGGGAGUGGCAAGGAGGCAGCACUUUGCUCAGAUUACCCAACCCCUAUCUAGUCCAACCUGUCCCGCUGACAGAUGAGGAAAGAACUGCUAAGCAGCUCUGUGUCCCCACCCACACCCCAGCACAUUCUUGUCCCCUAGCAGCCAUCCACUUCCAGGGGUCUGUGCAUAGUAUUCAAGGGUCUAUGAACUUGAGUGGGAGAGACAUUUACAUCUUUGUUUCACUAAACUCUGAGAUCAAGCACUUCCUUCCAUGAUGAAUGUAGGCAACAAACUGUGGUAGCAACAGCAGCACCUGUGACUGUCACCAAUAGAAACCACAGCUAUCUUCCUAGCACAUCAGAGCUGCUGCUGCUGUCUCUAAAGAUCACUUACACCCCUCGCUAGUCACUGUGGUCUUUGUAUGAAAGGAUCGUAGUUAUUAGACCCAACACUAAAUCUUGUUACUUAAUGCAUUAAUAAAGAAACACACAUAUUACUGAUCCCGAAGUUGCUUCUUAAUAUUUGCAUAACUGCAUUUCAAUAGAGAAUUGGUUUCCUCUGUCAUACUAUUUUAUGCAAUUAAAUUCAUCAUCCUGAGAAG
rnacentral:lncRNA from 1 species